rnacentral:lncRNA from 1 species
UGCAUGAUGAACCCUAAGCUGUGGGCCUCUGUCAUAAUAUCAUUUUUUAGUUCAUUGUCAUAUGGGACACACACCCUGUCUUGGAACCUGAGCAACCCAUCAGCAAAUAUUCAAAAUUCUAUAUUUAUCCCCUAUUCUGUAUCCUUCCUAAGAGCUGAUAGGGUGGAAUCAGUCAAUUAGACUUCCUUUAUUCUCUAAAUCAGUUCAAGUUGGACAGCUAGAUGGGUCAGACAUAUAACCCUCUUU